rnacentral:piRNA from 1 species
UGCCUAAGACAGGAAAUUCUGAGACUGGC